rnacentral:rRNA from 1 species
UACGUAGGGUGCGAGCGUUGUCCGGAAUUAUCGGGCGUAAAGGGCUCGUAGGCGGUCUGUUGCGUCAGGAGUGAAAACUCGGGGCUUAACCCCGAGCCUGCUUCUGAUACGGGCAGACUAGAGGUAUGCAGGGGAGAACGGAAUUCCUGGUGUAGCGGUGAAAUGCGCAGAUAUCAGGAAGAACACCAAUGGCGAAAGCAGCUCUCUGGGACGGUACUGACGCUGAGACGCGAAAGCUAGGGGAGCAAACAGG